UUCUCCUACCUUCACCCGCCGAUACGAAUAAAACCCUCCCCACCGUAUACUACCAAUUGUAUCGAUCUCGAUCUUCAACUAUCAACGCCAUUUGAUCUUCAAACCUGUCUCAGUAUAUUGUGAGAGGAGGAAGAGAUAUGUUUUAUUUGUUGCCCGAUGCUUUUAAAGGUAUUAAGCAGAGUGGUGUCAUUAGAUGGAGUUCUCAGGAGAUAGAGAGAUAAACAAAAAGGGAGAACACGCAAGAGCGAGAUCGAGAGAGAAAUAUGAGGGUGGCAGCGGAGGUGCUACGACGGCGCCAACCAUACCCCGGUGGUGAAUACAGAUGGAGCAGGUGAGUGAUGGUGGUAAUGAUUCGGCGGUGAAGACAGAUGGAGCAGGUGAGUGACGGUGGGAAUGAUUCGGUUACAGCCUUCCAUAAGGCGGUGGUCUACAAGAGCCACAUAAACAUCGUCGACGGUUCCAAUGUUAAAACGAAGAGGAAGACGAUGACAAAAAAACCCUAGCCGUUUCUUCCGGCGAUGGCAUCCAGGGUUUCGGCGAAGACUCCGACGAAGAUCUGGUAAGUCCUCCUUCAAUUGUAUGUUCCAUCGGUUGUUAGAUUGGUCUGCGUAAUGACGAUUCUGACCAAUACUGGUUGUUACAUGUUCCCGACAAUGGUUCCGCCACAUCUGAUGCACUCCGGUGUCGGGGAUUAGGGUUCCAACGGUGGUUAGUGGCUGAACCAACAGUGACCACAACGAUCAUCGCAAGUAUGUUCAUCAUCUUCAAGACUUCCGAUUAGCUCCUGAUUGUUCGUAAGCUAAUUUAGCAUUUUGGGGCAUAAUGUAAAUAAAAAGUUAUAUUAUAAUAUUUUGAAUUCGUUAUGUAUUUUGUUUAGAUUUGAAUCCACUCCACUGGUAGUUUUUUCUAGAAAACAUUAAAGUAAUAAUGUUUUGGACCCUCUGGCAAUUUUUUAUUCUCUCUAAUUGAAAAUUUUCAAGAUUUCGACCUUU
rnacentral:lncRNA from 1 species